AACGCACGAGACCUGCGGACCUGCGGAGGGAUCAUUAAUGAGAAGCUGCCCCUCGUGGGUAGACCUCCCACCCUCUGUGAACUUACCUCUGUUGCUUUGGCAGGCCCGUCCUCUGGACCGCCGGCUUCGGCUGGCCCGUGCCUGCCAGAGGAUUCCAAACCCUGUCUGUCAGUGUUGUCUGAGUCUAUAUGAAAUCGUUAAAACUUUUAGCAACGGAUCUCUAGAUCGGAAGAGCACACG
rnacentral:misc_RNA from 1 species